rnacentral:misc_RNA from 1 species
AAGUCGUAACAAGGUUUCCGUAGGUGAACCUGCGGAAGGAUCAUUAACACGUAUCCAACGUUAAACCCCCAGGCCCGUUUUCAUGCAAAGGUUGUGAUCAGGGGGGCCGUAGCCCAGUGACCUGGUCGACGGCCGUGUCGGCCUCCAGCGAUCGUUACUGCGCCAUCCGUACAUAGCUAGUGACACUUUCAGACACUAACAAGCAGAGGAAUGCCAGGUCAAUUGCCUCGCACUACCGUACACCCUUCCCAGAGGUCUCUGAAUCAAAACUGUUCGGCGAUGAUUUACCAGAGAUUGCCGGUUUAUGACGUGGAUGUAACUCAUACAAUGAAGGUUCACAGCGCUGAGGUGCGGCCACCCCUAAUGCUUGAACAAC